GUGCUCACUUAAGCAGCAUAUAUACUAAAAUGGGAACAAUAUAGAGCAGAUUGGCAUGGCCCCUACACAAGAAUGAUGUGCAAAUUCAUGAAACCUUUACUGAUAGA
ensembl:snRNA U6 U6 spliceosomal RNA